CGCAUCUGUGCAUGCAGCAUAUCAAUAAGCGGAGGAAAAGAAACUAACAAGGAUUCCCUUAGUAACAGCGAGUGAAGCGGGAAGAGCUCAAAUUUGAAAUCUUCAAGGUCUUACCUUGACGAAUUGUAGUUUAAAGAAGUGUUUUCUGUUGAAGUUUUGGUAAAAGUUCUUUGGAAUAGGACAUCAUAGAGGGUGAGAAUCCCGUAUUUGACCAUUAUUUUCAGCUGUGUGAUACACUUUCAAAGAGUCGGAUUGUUUGGGAAUGCAGUCCAAAAUGGGUGGUAAAUUUCAUCUAAAGCUAAAUAUUGGCGAGAGACCGAUAGCGAACAAGUACCGUGAGGGAAAGAUGAAAAGAACUUUGAAAAGAGAGUUAAACAGUACGUGAAAUUGUCAAAAGGGAAGCGUUUGACACCAGUGUUGUUUUCUCGAAAAUCAAUUAAAAAGAGUUUGAUUUUGUUGUGUAUUGACCUUAACAGCUUGCAUUUCAAUUUUCUUGCUUUUUUAAUGCACUUUUCGUUUAACAAGUCAACAUCAGUUUCUUUUGUUGUAAAAAGGUCAUUGGAAGGUGGCUUUCUUUUCAGAGAAAGUGUUUAUAGCCUUUGACUCCUGCAAUCGGAGAGACUGAGGUCUGCAGCGUAGAUCCUUCGGGGUUAGAUACAUUUGUGCUAAGUUAUAGCUUUUUAUAGACAACUUGUUGACUAUGAUUAGUCUUGUAGCUUACUCGCUUAUGCUAUUUUACCUACGCUUAGGAUGUUGACACACGCGCGUGCUCG
rnacentral:rRNA from 1 species